UUAACGACGAAAAAAUAAUGGUGCGUUCGUUCGUUUUCAAUAGAUUUUUUCGACUCUCUCCAAUGUAUUCAAACAAUUUCUUCUUAGCCUAGCUUGCCUACGAUGGCAAAGUGGGGCGAAUUCGCCAAGAGCGAGAGAGCGAGCUUUCAUUGCGCUCCCCCUUUGCCCUAGCCUAACUUACACUAGACUUAAUAAGAUGCGAUACACUAAUAACAGUUGUAAUAUAAGAUCAGAUGCCAAAUGGCGCUACAAUGUUAACAGGAGGGGAGAUUGAAUUGUAUCAAGGGAGAUAUGGUAUGGUAUACCCAUUGGGGUAUUUUAAUUGUGGCAUAGAACUCCAAAAGGUUCAUGACCGUAAAUUGAUCUACAGAAAGGUAAACGAAAAGGCCGGAAAAUGCGUAUACGUCUAGAGAGAACAGCGAAACACAUAUCAGCUUGACAGUCAACAAUUCUAAGAAUGAGCAUGUGGCAAAAUAUUGUACCAUUUCAUAUUCUGCGACGGAGAUAUUUAACUGCAUCAUAAAUCUUGCAAUUGGCUCGUAACCAGGUGUUCGAGCAGUUUUAGAAUCACGGACAGCAUCGCGAUAAACCAUUAGUUAUAAUUAUUCGAUCUUGACCCAUUUUAUGAAGUUAAUAGGCUAUUCAAACUGUCGACCAUCCACCAUCCAUUUCGGGGAUGGUCCUUAAGGUUUUUCCGUUCCGAAAAUUUCCCACUUAGUCCACCAUCCAUUUUGAUGUUCCUAAGCCGCACGUUUCUAUGCGAUAGUUAUUAUGAUGAUACAUACAUAUGUAUUGUAUUUGAUUAUAAAAUAAUAAUAUUAAAAUACAAUUUGUUGUUUGCUAUUACUUUUGGAGCUGUGCUGUGCUGAAGCCUGAACCCAAAUUAAUAGUUUGGCAUGGCUGUUUUAACCGGCGGCGACUCCAGUACCCUUCGUAGGAUGCAGCGCUCAAACAUUUUGCCAAAAGUUGACAAGAGACUAAUUGGUCUAUGUUUGUUGAGGUCUUCCGGUGGCUUUCCUGGCUUUGGCAACAUGAUUAUGUGGGCACAUCUCAAGGCUUUGGAAGAGUAUACUAAUCUUAGCGACGCGUUAAAGAUUAGCAACAGAUACAGAAUGGCUCUGUUUGGUAGCGCCUAUGCCACAACAUUGUCAAUCCUAUCGUCGCCAGGGGCCUUCUUGGACUUGAGUUUCUUUAUGUCUUCCAAGAUUUCUUGAAAAGUAAUUGGCGCCACAGGGAGCUCCAUCUGGUGGGUCUCAUUCAGCCUCUCAGUGACCAUCAUUGCUCUUCAACUAGAUGUCGUCCAGAAUGGUGUGAAUCUUUCUUCCAGGUUCGUCGCAAAAGCCUCCACUCUGUCCAUUGCUGUUCUUGCCCAUGAGCCGUCAGCCUUCCUUGCCUAAAAAACAAUGAAUGGCAAUAAAAAAUAGUUCGCGCCCAGACACAUUGGAAUUCGUAACUCGAAUUUUAAAUCGUUGAAAACUAAAAAAAGAAAAAAAGACAACAAACACACUACAAAAUGGAGAGAAAAAUGGAGAGACCAGAAAUUGGUGGUAAUAAGUAAACAAAUGUACAUACAUAUGUAUGCCUUAAAUACACGCAAGUCGAAAUGAACUGGCAUUAUAGUAUUGCGGAUUCGCGGGGGUCCCGAAAUAAUUCCGUUAAUGUCGACCGGGGCAGAUCCAACUACAGCUCCAGUCUUAUUUCUGCAACCAAGGCGCCGCAACAAGGUGGAUUAAACUGGAAAAUCUGAAACAAAUUGUUCGAAAAAUGCUGGAAGUCCAGAAGGAGCAGCAGGAUGACCACCAGCAAUCAAAGCGAGAGAUACUUCAAUUGCGAGCAGCCAAGGCCAAACCAACUUGCAAUAGAGCUUCUGCAAUUUUUAAGGGAGUCCUAAGAGUAACGUUUAUUGUAUAUAUAUGAAUUGUUUUAUUAAAGUGAAUAAUAUAGCCAAUUUA